rnacentral:rRNA from 1 species
CUCCUACGGGAGGCAGCAGUCGGUAAUCUUCCGCAAUGGGCGCAAGCCUGACGGAGCAACGCCGCGUGAGUGAGGAAGGCCUUCGGGUUGUAAAACUCAGUCACCUGGGAAGAGAGGUAUGGGGAGUGGAAUGCCCCAUACGAGACGGUACCAGGGGAGGAAGCCCCGGCUAACUACGUGCCAGCAGCCGCGGUAAUACGUAGGGGGCAAGCGUUGUCCGGAAUCACUGGGCGUAAAGCGUGCGUAGGCGGUCUUUCAAGUCCGGGGUGAAAACUCAAGGCUCAACCUUGAGAAUGCCUUGGAAACUGGGGGACUUGAGUACUGGAGAGGCAAGGGGAAUUCCACGUGUAGCGGUGAAAUGCGUAGAGAUGUGGAGGAAUACCAGUGGCGAAGGCGCCUUGCUGGACAGUGACUGACGCUGAGGCACGAAAGCGUGGGGAGCAAACAGGAUUAGAUACCCUGGUAGUCCACGCUGUAAACGAUGAGUGCUAGGUGUUGGGGGUUCAUCCCCUCAGUGCCGAAGGAAACCCAAUAAGCACUCCGCCUGGGGAGUACGGUCGCAAGACUGAAACUCAAAGGAAUUGACGGGGGCCCGCACAAGCAGUGGAGCAUGUGGUUUAAUUCGAAGCAACGCGAAGAACCUUACCAGGGCUUGACAUCCCUCUGACCGGUUCAGAGAUGGGCCUUCCCUUCGGGGCAGAGGAGACAGGUGGUGCAUGGUUGUCGUCAGCUCGUGUCGUGAGAUGUUGGGUUAAGUCCCGCAACGAGCGCAACCCUUGACCUGUGUUACCAGCACGUAAUGGUGGGGACUCACAGGUGACUGCCGGCGUAAGUCGGAGGAAGGUGGGGAUGACGUCAAAUCAUCAUGCCCUUUAUGUCCUGGGCUACACACGUGCUACAAUGGGCGGUACAACGGGAAGCGAGACCGCGAGGUGGAGCGAAACCCAAAAAGCCGUUCGUAGUUCGGAUUGCAGGCUGCAACCCGCCUGCAUGAAGCCGGAAUUGCUAGUAAUCGCGGAUCAGCAUGCCGCGGUGAAUCCGUUCCCGGGCCUUGUACACACCGCCCGU